GAUGAACGCUGGCGGCGUGCUUAACACAUGCAAGUCGAACGGAAAGGCCCAAGCUUGCUUGGGUACUCGAGUGGCGAACGGGUGAGUAACACGUGGGUGAUCUGCCCUGCACUUCGGGAUAAGCCUGGGAAACUGGGUCUAAUACCGGAUAGGACGAUGGUUUGGAUGCCAUUGUGGAAAGUUUUUUCGGUGUGGGAUGAGCUCGCGGCCUAUCAGCUUGUUGGUGGGGUAAUGGCCUACCAAGGCGUCGACGGGUAGCCGGCCUGAGAGGGUGUACGGCCACAUUGGGACUGAGAUACGGCCCAGACUCCUACGGGGGGCAGCAGUGGGGAAUAUUGCACAAUGGGCGCAAGCCUGAUGCAGCGACGCCGCGUGGGGGAUGACGGCCUUCGGGUUGUGAACUCCUUUCGCUAGGGACGAAGCGUUUUUGUGACGGUACCUGGAGAAGAAGCACCGGCUAACUACGUG
rnacentral:rRNA from 1 species